AAGAGAAGAAGAGAGCAAAAGAGAAAGGAAAAAGAAGAGAAUGGGAAAGAAAAGAAAAACCGUGAGGGAGAAGAGAAGAGAAGAGAGAGAUCGGUGGCUCUAUGAAGGAAGAAGAGGGAGAAAUCUCCAUGAGAAAAGGAGAAAAGAAGAAGAAGAAGAAGAAGAAGAAGAAGAAGAAAAGGUAUAAACUAAUUUCUUUCUUCCUAAGCUUUGUCUCUUUCUUUUUGUAAAUUGAUAAAAAAGGGGUUUUGAUUUGGAAGUUCAAACCCCUAUGAUCUAUGUAUUUUCCAUGGAUUCAAGUAUGGAUUUACUCAUUUUGGGUGUUGAUUUGGUUUGAAUCAAAAAGGAAAAGAAAAAUAAUUUUUCUAGUUUUGAACCCCAAAUUUCUAUGUACUUUGAAAAUCUACCGUUUUAAAUCUAUAACUCCUUUUUAUAAUCCGUCAAAUGGGGGUGAUAGAUAUAUGUGUUUACUAGUUAACCCAAGUGGUAGCACUCAAAAAUGUUGAGUUUUCAUGGGGUAGUGACUGAUUUUGCUAAAACAGUCCCGUUUUUGGUAGAAGGAAACAAACUAUUUUGGGGCAGUCUGAAACGAGGGUAUUUUCGUCCACUUUGUAUGAUUUAAAAAUUCAGGAAAAAUUUGGAGUGGUAAUAUCAGAAGUUUUGCAGGUUGUGUAAAAAUUUGAGAAUUUUUAGCCAUACGGUUUGAGAGUUAUGGAUUUUACGGUGAAGGACUAUUUUUAAGAAACCACCCGAAUAACUCUCUGUGUAUAAGUCCAAAAAUUACAAAAUUUGUACUGGAAGUACAUGUGUAUAGCAGGAGCAUACUGUAAAAAUUUCAAAAUUGUUGGAGUUAAUAUCGAUUUAUGAAAAAUCGGAGAAUAUUUGGCUAUUAUGGACUAUUUAAAUAUAGUAAAUAGAUUUUAAAAAUUCCGGAAAAAAUAUAUGUUCAAUAUGGAACUAUAUUCUGUCAAAUCCUAGAAAAGAAAUAUUUUUGGAACUGAUUUGAUAUUUUUCAUCUAAAUGAUGAUAAAUGGAUAAAUAGAUUUAAUUAAAUAUAUGAUGUCUAAAAAUAUGAAAAGUACGAUUUAUGACUUGAUACCCUUGAGCAUGGCUUAUGCAGGUUUUUGAUGAAAUUUUGGGUCGGGUGUAAAGUGUUGUGAUGUUUAUGGCAGUUUAGAAUGCUUAAACAAGUUUAUUAAUAAAAGGAAAACAAUUUAAUACAAUUGUUUAUUAAUGUGAUUAAUGACUUAACUUAUUGUUAUAUGACUAAUAAUAUUGGAUUAAGAUAUUAUUAGUAGUAUUUGAAUGUAAUGUUAUUAAAAGGUUAAUAACCUUAGCGUAAAAUAUUAUUACAUAAUUAAUAAUAUUCGACGGAAGAUUAAAAUAAGAGAUUUAUGGUAUUUUUUCAAUGUAAUUGUUGAAAUUGAUAUUCAAUGAACUAUAUUAUGUGUUUGGGCAAAGGAUAGAAAAAUAAUAAGUGAUUUAGUGUUUUUCAUGAAAAGGAUAUGGAAUUCAGCUUGCUGGAUUGAAAAGAAGCUUACUGAAAUUGAAGGAUUUAGAAUCCAGCUUGCUGGAUUGAUGGAUUGGUGAAUCUAGGCUUGCUGGAUUGCAAUCUAGUUGCUAGAUUUGGAAUCCAGUUAGCUGGAUUGCAGUUUAGGUUGUUGGAUUUGAAAUCUAGUCUGCUGGAUUGGCAGUGUUGUUGCUAGAUUUAGAAUCCAGGUUGCUGGAUAAGUAUUUGACUUAUUAGAUGUUAAAGAAUAACUUAUGAAAUGAUAAUGAGAGUGUUAAAUCAUAAUGGAUAUGAUAUAGUGAUUAAAGAAUUAUCAAAGAAUGAUAAUAAUACUGAUCGAUGUGUUAAGUUGUUAUCUAAUAUUUGAAUAAGUGUUAGAUAAUCUAUGGAUAAAGUAAUAGUAUUAAGAGCUACCAGAUAUGAUAUGCUAACUGAAAGAUUAAUCUUAUAAUUGAUAGGUCUUUCAUAAGAGAUUACAUAAGAUUGCUUAGCGGUAAUCAGCAGUGCAGACAAGUUUUCCUAACUCAAACUUGAGUUGUAUGUUCAAAGCAUGUUAGUGAAUAGUUGUUGUUGAUUAUUCACGUCUAUACUGAUUUUUGAUUCGCACAUAGUGCAUGUUGCAUAUGUUCAUCAGGUAUGAAAGGCUGAUCACCUUCAUUAUCUUAAGGUUCAGUUAAAUUGUUUAUGGUCAUUGUUGACCUUCAAACAUUAUUGAUUCAAUCAUGCAAUUCUUGAAACUUGAUUCAUGUUAUUUCACAAUUAUUAUAUUGUUGAAAACUUGAAAGCUUAUUCAUUCUUUUCAAUCAUGAUAUAUCUUCAUUGUAUUUAAAACUUGCUGGGCAAAUUUGUUGCUCACCCUUGCUAUAUCAUGAUAAAAUUUCCAGAUUUAGAUGAAAGCUCGAAUAAAGACAGAAGCAAAGUCAAAGUGCAAAAUUAAAUUACGUUGCAGUUAGAUCUAUUAAAUUUUCUGACGAAAAUAGCAUUGUAAAUCUUCUAAGAUAUUGAAGGUAUGUAAUAAGUUAAGGUUAAUAAACCUGGGAAAUUGUUAUAGAAUUAUGUAAAAUAAACAAUAUGUGUUUAUUUGUUCCGUAUUAGAUGAUAGAAUAUGUAUGAUGAUGAAGUAUCGUAACGUACC
rnacentral:lncRNA from 1 species